rnacentral:lncRNA from 1 species
AUCGUAAGUAUUUGUAAGAGUAGUUAGGUAGAUAUGGUAUAUAACUUACUCUAGUCAUGUAAUAUUCACCAAAAGCUUUUUCUAAUAUGAUUUUUCUUAUAUCUGCUACUUUUAUAUUUCUAAGUGCAUACAAAAUAAGUAUCUUGAAUUUAUCUACCAUCACAUCAGAUAUAUUAUCAUUCAUUUUUCAUAAAUUUGCUUUUUUCAAAAUAUUCCCU